rnacentral:tRNA from 1 species
GGGGGUAUAGCUCAGUGGUAGAGUGAGUGCUUAAUAUGCACAAGGUCCUGGGUUCAAUCUUCAGUACCUCCA